GUUCCUGUAGUUGAGAAUCAACGAUGGUUUUUCAGACCAUAGGCCUUGGAGAGAAGCCAAGCAGGAAUU
rnacentral:tRNA from 1 species